rnacentral:rRNA from 1 species
UACGGAGGGAGCUAGCGUUAUUCGGAAUUACUGGGCGUAAAGGGCGCGUAGGCGGCGUUUUUAAGUCGGGGGUGAAAGCCUGUGGCUCAACCACAGAAUGGCCUCGAUACUGGGACGCUUGAGUAUGGUAGAGGUUGGUGGAACUGCGAGUGUAGGGUGAAAUUCGUAGAUAUUCGCAAGAACACCGGUGGCGAAGGCGGCCAACUGGACCAUUACUGACGCUGAGGCGCGAAAGCGUGGGGAGCAAACAGG